AGAGUUUGAUCCUGGCUCAGGAUGAACGCUGGCGGUAUGCUUAACACAUGCAAGUCGAACGAUGAUCCCAGCUUGCUGGGGGAUUAGUGGCGAACGGGUGAGUAACACGUGAGUAACCUGCCCUUAACUCUGGGAUAAGCCUGGGAAACUGGGUCUAAUACCGGAUAUGACUCCUCAUCGCAUGGUGGGGGGUGGAAAGCUUUAUUGUGGUUUUGGAUGGACUCGCGGCCUAUCAGCUUGUUGGUGAGGUAAUGGCUCACCAAGGCGACGACGGGUAGCCGGCCUGAGAGGGUGACCGGCCACACUGGGACUGAGACACGGCCCAGACUCCUACGGGAGGCAGCAGUGGGGAAUAUUGCACAAUGGGCGAAAGCCUGAUGCAGCGACGCCGCGUGAGGGAUGACGGCCUUCGGGUUGUAAACCUCUUUCAGUAGGGAAGAAGCGAAAGUGACGGUACCUGCAGAAGAAGCGCCGGCUAACUACGUGCCAGCAGCCGCGGUAAUACGUAGGGCGCAAGCGUUAUCCGGAAUUAUUGGGCGUAAAGAGCUCGUAGGCGGUUUGUCGCGUCUGCCGUGAAAGUCCGGGGCUCAACUCCGGAUCUGCGGUGGGUACGGGCAGACUAGAGUGAUGUAGGGGAGACUGGAAUUCCUGGUGUAGCGGUGAAAUGCGCAGAUAUCAGGAGGAACACCGAUGGCGAAGGCAGGUCUCUGGGCAUUAACUGACGCUGAGGAGCGAAAGCAUGGGGAGCGAACAGGAUUAGAUACCCCGGUAGUCC
rnacentral:rRNA from 1 species